UACGAGGGGGUGCAAGCGUUGCUCGGAAUCACUGGGCGUAAAGGGUGCGUAGGCGGGUCUUUAAGUCAGGGGGUGAAAUCCUGGAGCUCAACUCCAGAACUGCCUUUGAUACUGAGGAUCUUGAGUUCGGGAGAGGUGAGUGGAACUGCGAGUGUAGAGGUGAAAUUCGUAGAUAUUCGCAAGAACACCAGUGGCGAAGGCGGCUCACUGGCCCGAUACUGACGCUGAGGCACGAAAGCGUGGGGAGCAAACAGG
rnacentral:rRNA from 1 species